rnacentral:misc_RNA from 1 species
GAAAUGCGAUAAGUAGUGUGAAUUGCAGAAUUCAGUGAAUCAUCGAAUCUUUGAACGCACAUUGCGCCCCUUGGUAUUCCAUGGGGCAUGCCUGUUCGAGCGUCAUUUGUACCCUCAAGCUCUGCUUGGUGUUGGGUGUUUGUCCCCGUCCCGCGCGUGGACUCGCCCCAAAGUGAUUGGCAGCCGGCGUACUGGUCCCGGAGCGCAGCACAUGUCGCGCAAACGAGUGCCUUGGUACGGCGGCGUCCAUAAGCCCCUCUCUCACGCUCUUGACCUCGGAUCAGGUAGGGAUACCCGCUGAACUUAAGC